rnacentral:rRNA from 1 species
UUCGGGUCCCAAGCAUAAGAAAAAAAAAUACUGGAAACUGAAUCAUCUUAGUACCAAAAUAAAAAAUCAACCGAGAUCCCAAAAGUAGUGAGAACGAAAAUGGGACAAUUUUAUCGAACAAAGAGGGUAAGUUAGUCCCGUAGAUAAAGUAAAAAAGAAGAUAGUUAGGGCCAUGGGCGCCUUUUGGCGCCACGCGAACGUCCCUCGGAUUGUCUGAAGGUCGACGGCGCGUUGGUUUUUGGGCGCUGACAGUAGGGACCUUCAAGGGUGGUAGGCGCCCCACGGGGUUCCGCCCUCGCUUUCUAGAGACGAGAAAUACCGAUAGUGUAACAGUACUGUGAAGGAAAGUUGAAAGAGAGUUGAAAUAGAACCGGAAAUCCUAAAUAAAAAGCAGUAGGCUUACAGUGCCUGCGUACCUUUUGCAUAAGUGGUUCGCAAGUUUUUAAUUUGGCAAACUUAAACCGUAAGGUAGAGGUGAUACGAAAGUGAAAUAGUCAAAUGAACCCGAAACCAAGUGAUCUACCCCUGAUCUGGCGCGGGCGGAGGCGCCGAAGGCGCGCGUACCGCGGCCGAACCGGUGGAUGUGGCAAAAUCCUCGGAUGAAUUGGGGAUAGCGGUGAUACGCCAAUCGCACUUGGAUAUAGCUGGUUUUCUGCGAAAACUAUCUAAGUAGUGCCGGCAUUUUUUGCCGAGUCAGGCGUAGGACGAUAAGGCCCUAUGUCUAAUGGGAAACAACCCAAAUCAUUAGUUAAGGACAUAAAACCGGGG